AUUGAACGCUGGCGGCAGGUCUAACACAUGCAAGUCGAACGAGUGGCGGGCGGGUGAGUAAUGUCUGGGAAACUGCCUGAUGGAGGGGGAUAACUACUGGAAACGGUAGCUAAUACCCCAUACCAUCAGAUGUGCCCAGAUGGGCUUAGCGUGUUGGUGGGGUAACGGCUAACCAGGGCGACGAUCCCUAGCUGGUCUGGGCGGAGGACCAGCCACACUGGAACGGGGACACGGUCCAGACGCCUACGGGAGGAAGCAGUGGGAAAUAUUGCACAAUGGGCGCAAGCCUGAUGCAGCCAUGCCGCGGAUAUGAAGAAAGCCUUCGGGUUUUAAAGUACGUUCAGCGGGGAGGCGUUACCCGCAGAAGAAGCACCGGCUAACUCCGUGCCAGCAGCCGCGGUAAUUC
rnacentral:rRNA from 1 species